rnacentral:rRNA from 1 species
AUUGAACGCUGGCGGCAGGCCUAACACAUGCAAGUCGAGCGGAUGAAGGUAGCUUGCUAUCUGAUUGAGCGGGGGACGGGUGAGUAAUGCCUAGCAGUCUGUCUGGUAGAGGGGGACAUCGUUAAGAAAGGAACGCUACAACCGCACACGUCCUACGGGAGAGAGUGGGGGAUCUUGGGACCUCACGCUAUCAGAUGAGCCUAGGUACGAUUAGCUAGUUGGGGAGGUAAAGGCUCACCAAGGGGACGAUAGUUAACUGGUCUGAGAGGAUGAUGCGUAAAACUGGAACUGAGGCACGGUCCAGACUCCUACGGGAGGCAGCAGUGGGGAAUUUUGGACAAUGGGCGAAAGCCUGAUCCAGACAUGCCGCGUGUGUGAAGAAGGUCUUCGGAUUGUAAAGCACUUUAAGUUGGGAGGAAGGGCAGUAAGUUAAUACCGUGCUGUUUUGACGUUACCGACAGAAUAAGCACCGGCUAACUUCGUGCCAGCCGCCGCGGUAACAC